GGGACUUGCCUGCACGUUCUCUGCUCGUCUCCCCUACCCGCUGCCCGGGAAGUCGUGGCCAAGCCGGGGCCCCAGCGCCAGAACCCGCGGAGAAGUUUCGCCGCUGCAAACUGCAAUAAACAGCCCGGUCGUGUGAAAAUGUGACUCCGCCUAUUGGGAAAGGAAUGUCAAAAAAGGCCUUUCACAUCAGCUAUCUCAGUCCCCUGUUGUAUCAGUGCAAGAUGAGGUUCAACAAUUUGCUGAAGGUUUUGCAGCUGGUUAGUGGCAGAGGUGUUUCUGGAACCCAGGGUUGACUACCCCCAGAAUCUUCUAGUAUUGAUGUGGGAACCUUUCCAUGAAGAUGGAGACUACUGGUCCAGAACCUAAGAAUUUAAACAGAGAGCCUUAUACUCUAUACCCAUUUAUGCACUUUUCUAUUCAUUUUCAGUGUUCACGGCUGGGUAACUAGAUGCCCUAACGACCUUCAGUGGUGAGCCAGGGCACCCUCUGGGGAACCACAUUGUGCUCUGUCCUUAGAGACACCCAUUAUGGAAGGUACCAGGCUGAAGCUGGGGCCGGGUAGUUCCGUUGGGGCAAGUGUGGGACUGAAGAGGCCAAGGUCAGUGGUUGAUCCUGGUUCAGGCCAGUUAACUUCUCACAAAGAUGAAUUGCUCCAAGGCCAUCGCACUUCUAGUGCUAGCUGGUCAUUUUAUAAAGAGUUGUUGUUGGUUUCAAUAGCAAAGUACCAUCCAUUUCUAGAAAGAUUACUCAAACUACUAUUGUUCUAUUCAGUCCUAUUCAUUCAGCAAACAAUGAUCUGAACCUAUUAACUAUUUUUCCUCCCAUAUAUCUUGUACUUACUUAUUUUCCAGGUACUUACUAAAUGUUAAUUGCUUUACCUGUAUUGUCUCAUUUAAGUCUUACAACACUGGGAGUAAGGUGCUACUAUUUCCCCAUUUUAUAGAUGAGAUGACUAAAACAUGGAGACCAAGCCUAGUUACAAGCCUGUGCAGUCUGACGCCAGAGCUGGCCCCCUCUUAACCACCAAGUUUGUGAAGGAUUCAGGAAGACCUAAAACAAGACUCUUUCCCUCCACAUUUUCGAUAAUUAUCAUCAUUUAGAAUCUCCUUUCCUUUUCAGCUAGCAAUUUCAUGUCCAAAGAUUUGUCCUACAGAAAGUCAUCCAGAGAUAUAUAUAGUAUAGAUGGAGUGUAUGUUUAUGUGUAUAUACGAAGUGUAUAUCUGGAAUAUAUAUACACAUUUGCUGCAGCAUAAUAGUGAAAUUUGGAAAUCACUGUCAUUCUCAUCAGCAAGGGAUUGAACAGCACCAAGGAAAAGCCGUGUGAACACACAGCAAGAAGGCAGCCGUCUGCAGUCCUAGAAGAGAGCUCUCACCAGAGCACAACCAUGCUGGCAACCCCAUCCCGGACUCCAGCCUCGAGACUGGGCUUCCCUGGUGGUGCAGUGGUUAAGAAUCCACCUGCCAAUGCAGG